rnacentral:rRNA from 1 species
AAGUAAAGCUUGGUCUAUUCUGAACAAGCAGGAUAUUGUCUGAUUUCAGAAGCUAAGCAGGGUUGGGCCUGGUUAGUACUUGGAUGGGAGACCACCUAGGAAGACCAGGUGCUGUAGAUG